GCUUUGUCUUGAAUACCCACUUCACACCAAUAGUUUUGUGCCCUUUGGAAGAUCUGAUAGCUCCCAAGUGCCAUUUCUUUCAAUGGCAUCAAUUUCGUCAUCCAUAGCUUUCCUCCAUUUCUCCUCUUUAAUAGCAUUUUCAAAAGUUGUAGGAUCACUAUCUGCAAACAAUGCAAAGUAGGAAAAAUAAUCUUCAUUUACAUCAAUUCCUGUUACCUCAUAAUCCAUCAUCCACGCGGGCCUUUUGCGAGCACAACGAAGAGACUCAUCUGGUGCAUCAAUUCCUUCCAAAGCUGAGGGUGAAAUUUCAGCAGCUGCUGGAUUAUAAUUUUCAGAACUUUCGGGUAUUGUUGUUACUUCUUUAACUUCAUUAUCAAUUAAGAUUGGAAUAAACUGCUGCAUAUUCCAAUCUCAAUAGUUUUCUUCAUCAAAAAUAACAUCUCUGCUAGUCACAACCUUCUUUGUCAAUGGAUUGAACAACUUGUACGCCUUGGAUGCCUCGCUAACACCAAGAAAGACACACUUCUUGCUUUUGUCAUCAAGCUUCUUCCUCUUCUCGUCUGGGAUAUGUGCAUAGCCAACUCAACCAAAAAUUUUAAAAUGAUCUACAGUAGGUUUCCUUCCACUUCAAGCCUCCUCUGGAGUCAUGUUUUGAAUGGCAAAUGUUGGACUUCUAUUCAAAAUAUGAAUACUCCAAUUUACUGCUUUUGGAGAGAAUGUCUUUGGAACUUUUCCUCGAGCUAGCAAGCUUCGAACCAUGUUGAGAAUGGUUCUAUUCUUCCUCUCCGAUACACCAUUUUGUUGUGGUGUAUACGCCGUUGUGAGCUCUUUUCGAAUGGCAUAAGUCCCAUAAAAUUCUUCAAAUCCCUUAGAGCAAUAUUUGCCCCCACGGUCUGUUCGGAAGCUCUUGGUGGUCUUUCCUGUCUCAUUCUCCACAUUAGCUUUGAAGCUUUUAAAUGCAUUAAAGACUCUGAUUUUUCCCACAGAAACUACACCCAAGUCUAUCUAGAAUAAUCGUGUAAUGACCCGACCGGUCGUUUUGAGUUUUUGCACCUUACUCGUCAGUUCUCGGGCAUGGUUUGCCCCGUGUGAUGGAUUAUGAUUUAUGUAAAUCGUUGGGUUUGGUUUUCAGGGUAAUCAGAAUGAAUUUGGAAGAACAAUUCUCAGUUGAAGCUUGAAAUUAGAAAAGUUUGACCAAGAUUUGACUUGUUGGUAUAUGAUUUCGGAUCGAAAUUUUUAUGAUUUGGUUAGUUCCGUUAGGUGAUUUGGGAACUAACUAAAUUAUUUUGGAGCGUGAUCGAAAUGCAUUUUGGAAGUCCAUGGAAGUUUUAGGCUUGAAUUAGUGAAAUUGAGAUUUUGAUAUUUUCUGGUUGAUAGGUAAGAUUUUGAUAUAGGGGUCGGAAUGGAAUUCCGGAAGUUGCAUCAGCUUCGUUGUGUCAUUUGUGACGUGUGUGCAAAAUUACAGGUCAUUCAGACGUGGUUUGGUUGGGUUUUUGAUCAAAAGCAUAAUUUGAAAGUUCUUGAAAUUCUUAAGCUUGAAUCCGAUGCAAAUUUGGUAUUUUAAGGUUGUUUUGAGCGUUCUGAAGGUUGGAACAAGUUUGAAUGAUGUUAUGGGAUAUGUUGGCAUGUUUGGUUGAGGUCCCGAGGACCUCGGGUGAGUUUCGGGUGGUCAAUCGGACCAUUUCAUGUUGUGAAAAAUUGCAGAAUUGCUGUUGUUGGUGUUGCAAGUUUUUGACCUUCGCAUUCGCGAUGCAUGUCCCGCGUUCGCAAAGGGUUAAGGUGCGAGGAUGUGGAGUUGGCCUUCGCGUUCGCGAAGAUGGUUCCGCGAUUGCGAAGAUGUAAGGUCUUUGGUCAUCGCGUUUGCGAGGUUUAGGUCGCGUUCGCAUAGAGGAAGAAGGAUAGCUGGGUCCUCAGUGCAUUUGUUCUACAUGUUCGCGUAGUUAGGGUCGCGAUUGAAAGGUGUUGAGUGUGUUGUGCAUCGCAUUCGCGAGAGCUUUCUCACGUUCGCGUAGAAUAAAUUUCGGUCAGUGAAGCAAUGUGCUUCGCGAACGCGAGGGCUAUGCCGCAUUCGCGAGAGCUUUCUCACGUUCGCGUAGAAUAAAUUUCGGUCAGUGAAGCAGUGUGCUUCGCGAACGCGAGGGCUAUGCCGCAUUCGCGAUGAAGAAAUGUAUGGGCAGAAAGUUUAUAUUUUAAAUCAAAGGUUUAAGUCCAAUUUCAUAAAAACCAUUGGAGAGCUCGGGAGAAGGUGGAAUUUGAGGAGAUUUUCAGUGGAGCUAUUGGGGUAAGUAUUCUUCACUCAUAUUUGGUUUAAUUCCAUGAUUUGGUCUUGAAUUUCAUCAUUUAAUUUGAGAAAUUAGAGUGAAAAUUGGGGGGAAAUGGAAGAACAGUUGAGAUUUCUUUUGGGGAUUUGAAUGGGCAAUUGAGAUCGGAUUUUGACGAAUUUGAUAUGGGUAGACUUGUGAGUGAACGAGGAUUUUAUUGAUGUGAUUUUUAUCGGAUUCUAAGACAUGAGCCCGGGGGCCGGGUUUGAGCAAUUUCGGGAUUUUUGAUGUAAAUUAGAUAUUUUCGAGUGGGCUUUAUUUUCUUAGCAUAUUUUAAUAGUUAUGUACUGAUUGUGGAUAGAUUUGGAGCAUCCGAAGGUUGAUUCGUAAGGGCAAAGGCAUCGCGGGCUAGAGUUUGGACCAGAUCAAGGUAAGUAAUGAUUGUAAAUGUUGUCCUGAGGGUUUGAAACCCCAGAUUUCACAUCGUUGUGCUACUUUGAGGUGACACACACGCUAGAUGAUGAGCGUGGAGUUGUGCAACGUUGGUGAUUGUGACUUGGUCCGUCCCGUACAAUUGUUAAGUCGCGUAUUUGAUUUGAAAUCUUAUGAUAUUUCAUAUUUUAGAGAUUGAUAUUAUAUUUUGGGUUGUAUGCCAUGUUUGGGGCCUUGUGCCGACCUGUUGAGACCCUUAGGGGGCACUUUCACUAUUUUUCCUCACUCUGUUUUGAAAGCAUAUCCUCAAUCAUGUUUUACCUGUUUAUUGUUUAAAUCUGGUUUUAUCACUUUACUUCUUGAAAUGUGAAAACUGUUUGGGCUGAGUUCCUUGUUUUACUGAUGGUCUGAGUGAUCGUGAGGUUGAUGACUGAGAUAGACCGAGGGUCUGAUUGUGAGGUUGAUGACUGAGAUAGACCGAGGGUCUGAUUGUGAGGUUAAUGACUGAGCGAGGCUGAGGGCCUGUUGUGAGGAUUAUAUUUAUAUGGAUCGGGUUGCAUGCCGCAGCGAUAUAGCGCUUGGGCUGUAAGAGCCCCUCCGGAGAUCGCAGUCGACUAUAUAUAUGGAUCAGGCUGCACGUCGCAACAGUUACUAUAUAGUACCUAUUGAGUGUGAAUGCUGAGUGUGAGCGCUGAUUGGAAAGAGUUGAGUCACGAGUGACUGAGAGUCUUGCCCAAGGGGCUAUAUAUAUAUACAUGUACAUGAGUGAUGCUUUGCCUGAGGGACUAGUUUAUGAACUUACUGUUUUCACCCCUCUUUAAAGUGAAAUUGAACAUGUUGAUUUAAUUACUGCUUUCACUCAUCUUUAGACCGAGCCUCUAUUGAAAAUGAUGAACAAAUGUUUUCAAUAAUCUUUUAUUUAAACUGAAGUUUUUAAGUUAUGAAAAGGAUUGUGAAUUUAUGUUAUGCCAAGGGGCUGUAUAUGAACUAUGUUUUGCCCGAGGGGCCGAUUAUGAUUUUUAUCUCUUUUAUUAUAAAUGGUAUUGAACCCCUACUGAAACUGUUGGAAAGCAUUUUUCAAAUGAUUUUCACCAAAAGCUGGAUUUUAAAUGAGACGAUUGACUCGUAUUUUGAUUUGAAAGAUUGUUGUGCUUAUUGAGUUUAUCAUAAAUGUGGAUUCGUCGUUUCCUACUGCUUAUUAUUUAUUUACUCUUAUUACUUACUGGGUUGGAGUACUCACAUUACUCCCUGCACCUCGUGUACAGAUUCAGGUAUUUUAGAAUCCGGUAGCGGGUGUUAAUUGCUCAGAGGCGGAGUCGUCGGAGUUAGCAAGGUGGCUGCAUGACGUUCGUAGCACUGCUUUCUUUCCUCUCAUUUCCAUUACUGUAUUUGGUACAUUUUUAGACUCUUGUUGUAUUCAGACCUUGGUAGAUGCUCAUGACUAGUAACACCCCGAUGUCGGGCUUGUAUGUUAUUUCUGCAC
rnacentral:lncRNA from 1 species